rnacentral:rRNA from 1 species
GACGAACGCUGGCGGCGUGCUUAACACAUGCAAGUCGAACGGAAAGGCCCUGCAUUUGUGGGGUGCUCGAGUGGCGAACGGGGGAGUAACACGUGAGUAACCUGCCCUUGACUUUGGGAUAAAUUCAGGAAACUGGGGCUAAUACCGGAUAGGAGCUCCUGCUGCAUGGUGGGGGUUGGAAAGUUUCGGCGGUUGGGGAUGGACUCGCGGCUUAUCAGCUUGUUGGUGGGGUAGUGGCUUACCAAGGCUUUGACGGGUAGCCGGCCUGAGAGGGUGACCGGCCACAUUGGGACUGAGGUACGGCCCAUACUCCUACGGGAGGCAGCAGUGGGGAAUAUUGCACAAUGGGCGGAAGCCUGAUGCAGCAACGCCGCGUGCGGGAUGACGGCCUUCGGGUUGUAAACCGCUUUCGCCUGUGACGAAGCGUGAGUGACGGUAAUGGGUAAAGAAGCACCGGCUAACUACGUG